rnacentral:lncRNA from 1 species
UCAUAUAUUAGAAUCAAUUGGUUCGAGUCCAUUAUAAAACCUUAUGGAAACACCUUUCCAUCAUUCACACUGUCAUAGCCAUGAGCUUUAGGACUCAAUCUCAUGGUCUACAUAGGACUACUUUUCUAUCGAGGUUGAUAGAUCCCAUCUUAGUGCAAUCCAAUUUCUACAAUGAAUAUACUGUAGUCAACAUACACCUUAAGGCUCCAUAUGGCUAGA